GCUCUGAUUGAUCGCCUGAGGUGACUGAGUGGCGGACGGGUGGAGUAACGCGUGGGUAACCUACCCUAUACAGGGGGAUAACAGUUGGAAACAGCUGCUAAUACCGCAUAAGCGCACAGCUUCGCAUGAAGCAGUGUGAAAAAACUCCGGUGGUAUAGGAUGGACCCGCGUCUGAUUAGCUAGUUGGUGAGGUAACGGCUCACCAAGGCGACGAUCAGUAGCCGACCCGAGAGGGUGACCGGCCACAUUGGGACUGAGACACGGCCCAAACUCCUACGGGAGGCAGCAGUGGGGAAUAUUGCACAAUGGGCGAAAGCCUGAUGCAGCGACGCCGCGUGAACGAAGAAGUAUUUCGGUAUGUAAAGUUCUAUCAGCAGGGAAGAAAAAUGACGGUACCUGACUAAGAAGCUCCGGCUAAAUACGUGCCAGCAGCCGC
rnacentral:rRNA from 1 species